rnacentral:rRNA from 1 species
UACGUAGGGUGCAAGCGUUGUCCGGAAUUAUUGGGCGUAAAGAGCUCGUAGGCGGUUUGUCGCGUCUGCUGUGAAAUCCCGAGGCUCAACCUCGGGCUUGCAGUGGGUACGGGCAGACUAGAGUGCGGUAGGGGAGAUUGGAAUUCCUGGUGUAGCGGUGGAAUGCGCAGAUAUCAGGAGGAACACCAAUGGCGAAGGCAGAUCUCUGGGCCGUAACUGACGCUGAGGAGCGAAAGCGUGGGGAGCGAACAGG